UCGCCCGUGUGCGUGCGGUAGUGCCGAGCCAGCUCGUCGGAGCGCGCGAACUUCUUGUUGCAGUCCUGCCAGCUGCAGGCGAAGGGGCGCUCCCCUGUGGGCGACAUGGCAGAAGGAGGGACCCAACUAGAGUCUGCUGCUCCUCCUCUCCCAGAAGUUCCAACGUGGCCAACAGGCAUCAGAGGAGGAGACUUCUGGUUGACACCCAGGAGAGGGAGCCCGUUCCAGGCAGCCAAUAAGCCAGUCCAUGGACAGACGGCUAAACCAUUCAUAAGUUAUGAUUCAUGCUGGUGAGGAGCAGCAGGGGGUCUGCUCAGCUGGCCUCUGAGUGGUGACAUUCAAGCGGCACCCAGGAGACUGACCAGGAGCAGCUGGAGAACUGUGAACAGGUGGGGCAAAAGCAGCCGGGACAGGGGCCUGGAGAACAGAGCUCUCCACCGCAGCACUGCUCACUCUUUAAGUGAGGAACCCAAGGAGCUUUUGUUCACCUGGGUUAUGUCCACUGACAUUUACUGUAGAAAUUAAAACAAAAACAUUUAAACUCAA